AUGAAACCUGUCAACUCUAAGAAUCCCAUUGAUGUACUGAACAUUAAGCUGAAGAGAUUCAAAAAGUUCGCUAAAGGAUGGAGUGAAAAUCUUUUUGGUAAAUCAAGAAAGAGGAGAAGGGACCUAAGAGAGGAGUUAGAGCACCUAGAAAAAAUGGAAGAAACAAAUGUGUUGUCUCCUGAAUUAUACGAGACAAAAGUUGAUAUUUUGGCAGAAUUAUACAAUCUGUUAGUUGAAGAGGAGGUGGCUUGGAUGCAAAAAUCACAUGAAAACUGGCUUUUGAAAGGGGAUAGAAACACUGACUACUUCCAUAGAAUUGUGAAUGGGAGGAGGCGGAGAAACACUAUCUUUUCUCUUAGCUGUGGGGAUGAGAUAAUUGAAGGGAAUAAUAACCUCUUGAAACAUGCCACAAAUUUCUAUAAAGACCUUUUUGGGCCAGUAGUUGGAAACUUAUGUAAGAUAAAGGAGGAUAUGUGGGAAUCACAAGAGAAACUGUCAGACAUUGAAAACUUUAUCCUUACUAGACCCUUCUCUGAAACAGAAGUCAAGAAUGCUUUAUUCUCUAUGAAACCAAAUAAAGCUCCAGGUCCAGAUAAUAUUCCUAUUGAGUUUUUCCAACAUUGUUGGGAAAUAGUUAAAAGUGAAGUGAUGAUGUUAUUUGACUAG
rnacentral:rRNA from 1 species